rnacentral:rRNA from 1 species
AAUAUUGCACAAUGGGGGCAAGCCUGAUGCAGCCAUGCCGCGUGUAUGAAGAAGGCCUUCGGGUUGUAAAGUACUUUCAGUUGUGAGGAAGGGGGUGUCGUUAAUAGCGGCAUCUUUUGACGUUAGCAACAGAAGAAGCACCGGCUAACUCCGUGCCAGCAGCCGCGGUAAUACGGAGGGUGCGAGCGUUAAUCGGAAUUACUGGGCGUAAAGCGCAUGCAGGUGGUUUGUUAAGUCAGAUGUGAAAGCCCCGGGGCUCAACCUCGGAACUGCAUUUGAAACUGGCAAACUAGAGUACUGUAGAGGGGGUAGAAUUUCAGGUGUAGCGGUGAAAUGCGUAGAGAUCUGAAGGAAUACCAGUGGCGAAGGCGGCCCCCUGGACAGAUACUGACACUCAGAUGCGAAAGCGUGGGGAGCAAACAGGAUUAGAUACCCUGGUAG